CGUAAUUUCCGGUUAGUUAUUGACAAACAAGAAAUUUUCAAACAUUUACGUUUUUUGUCUUCAUUUGCUGCUUUUCGAGGAUGCUUCUGUCGAGUUUUGACAGGACAGUAUCCAUGUUACCUGCCCGGCCCCCUCCAUUACAGUUGGGACAUUGCCUGCCAGUCUUCUUCCCCAACCAUGCCCAACUGAUUGGUCCAACAUUGUUCAAAACUUGAUGGAAAUGCGGUGUCAUCGUAGUUUGGAGUAUGUGCAGAGCACUCGGGACAACAAGCAGUUUAUUUCUUCGAUGAGACUGAAUUGAAAUGGAGCAGACACUAUUGUGAGCAUGAUGAUCACUUCUUCAAGUACCAUGGCUUGGAGAUAAAAAGCCGAAAUUGGCACUUUGGUCUUAGCAGCAAACAGGCCUGGCUUUGUGCGGUGCAGGUUUGCUGCAUCGGUGAUGGUUUAGUUUACCUUAUGAAAACCAGAGCAGUUGUGUACCCUGAACUCCUUUCCGAAUUCUUCAUCAAGGGGAUUGAUCUUGAAUGGCAGUGGUAUUAACAUGACAAGAUCAGAGAAUACAGCAGAUUAGACAUUGAAAAAGACAGUGUGCCCUAGACAGUCUCAACCAAAGCAUUGAACAAACUGUACAACCUGUUAAUUAACUUUUUAGAGCUGUUUGUUUGGACUAGUGUUUGUCAUUCAGAAAUAAGUAAUAACAUUAUUUCUCAGUAUAAGAAAUCUGCAGGAAUUAGAAGCUGAUAUUUACUGUAACUAUAUAAACAAACCUCUUAGGGGUUUAGCCAGGUUAAAGAAAGACAGGGAGCUACAGAAAAGAGACAGGUUUCCAUGUUUCAAUAGGACACCCUUUAUCUGUGAAGAAUUUUAACAUUUUGAAUGUUACAGAAAAUGUUAGGAAUAUUGUAUAAUGUUUAAUUGAAGUACUAUUAGGUUUCAAGUGCCAAAUAUUUAAAGCCUGUGUGUAUUUAUAAUCUUGUGAAUAUAAAGUUGUUAUCAAAACAAAAUCAAUAUUUGACUGUCUUAAGCUUUUAAUUCUAUGAAGGCAGGAGGUUGCCAAUCUUGCUCUUCAUGACGGGUGCUUCCCAAAAAGAACAGGGUGCAGAAACCUUCCAUAACUAUUGCUAGAACCCUAAUAUCCUUUUUUCAUCAAAUUACAGUAACAUUGACAAUUAACAAAUGAUGCAGUGAUAUUUUUUUAUGCUAAUAUCAUCAAUUUUUAUUGUCAUUAAGUUUUCUUCUAGAAUUGAUUUGUACAUGUUAUGUAUUGAAAAUUGAUACUUGUGGUUGCCAUGGUUACAAUUUGU